CUUGCUGGGACUUGGGUGUGGCCAUAUGACUGAGUGCAGUCUAGUGGAAUGGGAGAGAAAUGAUGUGUGCAACUUCAAGUCAUUCUCUUCAAGAUGAAGCUGCUCAGGAGAAGUCAUCCAGUCUCAUGGGUUUAAGUUCCCUCUAUAAGCUGAUGAAAAGGAAGAUACACAUCUAGUCUGCAUUUGAGUGGCUGCUGGGAAAGCCAAGUAUACUAAUGCAUUUCCUGAAGAGUAAAAUUGAGCAGUGGAGGAUG